rnacentral:rRNA from 1 species
UUUCACUCGAAGCCGGAAUACUAAACUAGUUACCGUCCACAGUGGAAUCAGCGACUGGGGUGAAGUCGUAACAAGGUAACCGUAGGAGAACCUGCGGUUGGAUCACCUCCUUUCUAGA